AUUGAACGCUGGCGGCAUGCUUUACACAUGCAAGUCGAGCGGUAACAGGCCUUCGGGUGCUGACGAGUGGCGAACGGGUGAGUAAUGCAUCGGAACGUACCCAGAGGUGGGGGAUAACGCAGCGAAAGCUGUGCUAAUACCGCAUGUGAUCUGAGGAUGAAAGCGGGGGACCUAGCAGCAAUGUUUGGCCUCGCGCCUUUGGAGCGGCCGAUGUCGGAUUAGCUAGUUGGUGGGGUAAAGGCCUACCAAGGCGACGAUCCGUAGCUGGUCUGAGAGGACGACCAGCCACACUGGGACUGAGACACGGCCCAGACUCCUACGGGAGGCAGCAGUGGGGAAUUUUGGACAAUGGGCGCAAGCCUGAUCCAGCAAUGCCGCGUGCGGGAAGAAGGCCUUCGGGUUGUAAACCGCUUUUGGCAGGAACGAAACGGUGUCCGCUAAUACCGGGCGCUAAUGACGGUACCUGCAGAAUAAGCACCGGCUAACUACGUG
rnacentral:rRNA from 1 species